GAGGAAGCUAACAGGAAGGUCCUGGUCACUCUGCGGCCCACAGCAUCACUCCUCCACCGCCGAGCCUUCAGCUGGGUUAACCCUGAUGACAUCACUUUCACCCUGAUGACAUCACACUUUGGUCCAGCCGGCGAUGUUCUUCAGAUCCGGCUGCCAUCUUGUUUCUGGAUACCGUCAGUACCAUGACCUUUAACCUUUGGCCUGCUAACUGAGGCUCGCUUCACACUCUGACCUCUGACCUUGGCCUGAAUCUGCUGGGCCGGUUUGGAGAUGACCUUUGACCCUCCCCAGGAUGAGCAGCAGCAGCGUCCAUUAAACUACAGAAAUCAGUUUGAAUUGUUUUUGUGUCAGAGGUUCAGCAGAAGCUGUUUGUUGCUUUGACUAGGCCAACCGCACCGGAAGGCAGCAGCUGAGAAACGAGUCGAUGGCGGCAUCAUCAUCAUCAUCAUCAUCAUCAUCAUCAGCAGCAGCAGCAGCAGCAGCAGCAGCAGCAGCAGCAGCAGCAGCGCUGCAGCCUCGUGGUCGACCCAGAAUCUGACAAACAUCCGGCUGAACCAGAGAAACUCGACCACAGAAAGUUUCCGACGGAAAAAAAAAACCUGCAGCUGCAACUUCCAGGAAACAAGAAUCAUUCAUUCAGUUAUAAAUAUGACAACAUGAACCACAGCAGCAGCUGGUCAUCGCUACACAUUCACAUCUAUAAUCUGGAUUAAAACUGUCAGUUUGGAACCAGAAUUAUUAAAGCAGGAAGAAAAUCUAGAUUAAAUAACAUCUGGAUGACCUUUGACCUCAGAACCUCAGAGUCAACAGUAAACAGACCAAAACAACUUUUACUGUAAAUAUUCAUUUAAUGUUUAUGAAAUAUGACAGAACAGGAUCAAUAAUGAUCAGAUUAAUCAGAUCCAAUCUAUCAACCUUCAUCAGAUUAACUUAGAUUAAUAAAAUAUGCUUUCAUAAACAUUAAAAGGAUUUAAUUCAGUUUGCUUUGUGGUAAAAAGGGAAACUUUUAAUUACUUUGAAUAAUUUAAUUAAAACCCAGAAAAGUUCAGAUUCUUAGAGAUAAAAUGAAUUUUUAUACAGAAACAAAAAAAAAAAGUUUUUAACAUGAAAACAUGAUCAGGGUUCAGAACAGAGCUGGAGGUCAAGUAAAAGUAAUCAGUAAAAUUUACAGGUUUUCUGCUGAAUUUUGAUCAAAUCCUGAGAUCAAAAGUUUUUCUGGAACCUGAAAAACAUCAAACUAAUUUUCAUUUGGAGUUGAAUAGUUUUGGAUGUAACUGUAGCUAUGCUAGCUAACUGUCAAUGUUUCCCCCUGUGGCUCAUAUUAAUGGUUUUUAUUUCUGUUCUGGAUUAUAAUCUCAUCAUAUUUAUCUUCAGAAGGUUUACAAAGCAACAUUUAAUGACGGCAACAUUAAAUAUUGCCUUAAUGACAUUUCUGAGCAUCAACCUGAUGAAUCAUUGAUGUUGAUUUCAAUCCUCUGGAUUUCCUGCUAAUGAAGUCUGAAGUCACUUCCUGUUCAGAGAAACGAGACGAUUGUUUUGAGUCAUGAAACGAUCAGAUUAUUUGAAUCAUGUUUCUGUUUCCAGAACCUUCAGAGCUGAGUUUCACCAGUCAGUGACUGAACCCAAGACGAUUCACUGAUCUGGUUUCUGUAAAGGUCAACAGAAACACUUCUCAGCCUCCUUCAGACUGGAAACAACAAACCAGCAGCAACAAAACACAGAAGUGUCUGGAUCACCAGUGGAAUCUGAAGGUGGCUGCUAGGACUCCAGCUUCCUGCAGGUGGCGUCCUUCACGCUGGCUGUUUUAUUGGACAACAGCGCCAUCAAGUGGAUCUUUAAAGAACUGUUCAGUGUUUCUGUUCUCUGCUUGUAUUUGAUGUAUUUAUGUUUUUCUAAUAACCAGAAUGUUACUGGAGGUGAAGUGAUGAUAAAGAUCCUCAGUAAAACUUCCAGUUUAUCCACCAACACAGAUGUUUCCAACCAACUCCCUCAGGAAACUCCUGCCCAGCAGGGGGCGCUGUAGAAACCAUGACUGGAAAAGAGAAGUUGUUACUGAUGUGUCUGAUUUAGAUUUCUCUAAUAAACUUUUAUCACCGUUU